ensembl:snRNA U11 spliceosomal RNA
AAAAAGGGCUUCUGCCAUGCUUGGCACAGGAGAGGUGGGGUCUCCGCUUCUCUUGCGGAAUCGCCAUCAAGAGAUUUCGGAAGCAUAAUUUUUACUUCUUGGGCUGCCGAUGAUCACAUAUCUUGGCGCCCUA